UCAACCUGAGAGUUUGAUCCUGGCUCAGAGCGAACGCUGGCGGCAGGCCUAACACAUGCAAGUCGAACGAAACCUUCGGGUUUAGUGGCGGACGGGUGAGUAACACGUGGGAACGUGCCCUUUGGUUCGGAACAACUCAGGGAAACUUGAGCUAAUACCGGAUGUGCCCUUCGGGGGAAAGAUUUAUCGCCAUUGGAGCGGCCCGCGUAGGAUUAGCUAGUUGGUGGGGUAAUGGCCCACCAAGGCUCCGAUCCUUAGCUGG
rnacentral:rRNA from 1 species